rnacentral:rRNA from 1 species
GAUGAACGCUGGCGGCGUGCCUAACACAUGCAAGUCGAGCGAAGCACUUACUUUAGAUUUCUUCGGAAUGACGAAGUUUGUGACUGAGCGGCGGACGGGUGAGUAACGCGUGGGCAACCUGCCCUGUACAGGGGGAUAACAGUUAGAAAUGACUGCUAAUCCCGCAUAAGCCCACAGCUUCGCAUGAAGCAGUGGGAAAAACUCCGGUGGUACAGGAUGGGCCCGCGUCUGAUUAGCUAGUUGGUAAGGUAACGGCUUACCAAGGCGACGAUCAGUAGCCGACCUGAGAGGGUGACCGGCCACAUUGGGACUGAGACACGGCCCAAACUCCUACGGGAGGCAGCAGUGGGGAAUAUUGCACAAUGGGGGAAACCCUGAUGCAGCGACGCCGCGUGAGCGAUGAAGUAUUUCGGUAUGUAAAGCUCUAUCAGCAGGGAAGAAAGUGACGGUACCUGACUAAGAAGCCCCGGCUAACUACGUG